rnacentral:rRNA from 1 species
UGCAGCAGGCGCGCAAACUUUACAAUGCGAGCAAUCGUGAUAAGGAAACCCUGAGUGCCUGUCGAUGCAGGCUGUUCAUAUAUCUAAAUCAUAUGUGAAGAAAGGGCAGGGCAAGACCGGUGCCAGCCGCCGCGGUAAUACCGGCUGCUCGAGUGAUGGCCACUAUUACUGGGUUUAAAGCGUCCGUAGCUUGACUGUUAGGUCUCUUGGGAAAUCUUCACGCUCAACGUGAAGGCGUCUAAGAGAUACCGGCAGUCUUGGAACUGGGAGAGGUAAACCGUACUUCGGGGGUAGGAGUGAAAUCUUGUAAUCCUCGAGGGACGACCUAUGGCGAAGGCAGUUUACCAGAACAGCUUCGACAGUGAGGGACGAAAGCUGGGGGAGCAAACGGGAUUAGAUACCCCGGUAGUCCCAGCCGUAAACAAUGUGCGUUAGGUGUGUCGGUAACCACGUGUUACUGAUGCGCCGAAGAGAAAUCGUGAAACGCACCACCUGGGAAGUACGGUCGCAAGGCUGAAACUUAAAGGAAUUGGCGGGGGAGCACCACAACAGGUGGAGCCUGCGGUUUAAUUGGAUUCAACGCCGGACAUCUCACCGGAUAAGACAGCUGAAUGAUUGUCAAUCUGAAGGUUUUACAUGACUAGCUGAGAGGAAGUGCAUGGCCAAUCA